AAAAAUAUAAAUACAUGCAAAUAAAAAGUUAGUGUAACUCCCUAUGAGGUGAUUUGCCCAAACUGUCAUGAAAAGAAAAGAAAAAGAAAAACCAGCACAAAGCACAAAUCAUAAACUUGUUCCAAUGGCCAAAUAAGCUAUGAACAGAGCUAGUAGCCACUUGAACAAGUGACUAACUGAGUAACCGGGGGUGGGUAUCACCAAUAUGUACCUUCGCGUAAAAAGGUUAGUGAUUUUUU
rnacentral:lncRNA from 1 species